AGAAAUUUGUGGCCCCGCGUGAAUCAAAACUGGCUUACAUCCCUUUCAACUCGGUCAUCAACAUGAUUGGGUUUUGUGUUAUGCAUGCCUUCGACAAGAGAAAAAAGAUGUAUGUAAGCAUUGCACAAAGGCACGGGUUUCCGUGUAACAUUCUACGUUGCUCAAGUCGAGUAUGCGCUAAACAUGGGCUACCAAGUUUUGGAUGUUUUUGAGGCAUUGCAUUACCAACGUCAAGAGUAUUUAGAGGGGCCCUUUUUCCUGCUUUUUGCAAAGAAAAAAAUUGCAUUUACUUUGGCAAAUAAGCUUGCAUCGAAGGCUUGGAGGGGUACCGUAUUGGUAGAGCAUCCGCUUUCCAAUAUGCGAAUCCUGGUUCGCUCCCAGGCUUGCCAAGUCCAAGAUUCCCUGUGGUAUUUGAUUACAGCAUGAGUUGCUGCUUUAACAGCUUAAACGGGCGAACCUGCGGUCAUUCCCGAGGGUGAGGGACGUCAAUCCAAUCACGGAACAUAUCUGCGAAAUGACAACGGAGUGUAUCUCCGAUUGGUCCUUCCUUGGAGGCAACCUGAUGGCUGGAAUGGCCAUUAUUUUGGAAGCUCAAAUGUUCAUGCUACAAGAGAUGACGGCACUCUUGCAAAGGAAUGUCAAUGUGUUGGGAAUUGCCACCGAUUGCUUGUUUCUCAGCUACCCUAAGACACUUGAUACUCUUGUGGAAGUGAGCUUGACAUUGGGCAAGUUCGAAGAUGCAUAUCCGAGCCAUGAAAAGGACAAUUGCAUCAAAGAAUUAAUGGCAUCCAAUUCGAGGGAUUAUUACAUCCAAUUCAUGGACAGGGAAAUGGUAGUUAAGUUCAGAGGAUUCAAUCUAACGGCUCCCGCUUCCCGUGAAUCCUUCAUGACCCAGUUUGCCUCAAUCAAGACGGCAAUUUUGGAACACAGAAGGUCUUGUCUUAAGAUCGAUCAAUUCCGAUUGAGAAAAGGCAUUGGAGUAUCACCGGUUAUAAAGAAAAUUGCGUUCAGCUUCAGUCCAUACGUUUCCCGCCGUAUUGUGUUCGAAAACAGCGACAGCGAUUUGAAGUCGUUACCAUCAGGAAUAAAGAGUCUCAAAUAACGGGCAAGAUCUAUUUCAUCAAAAGUUUCACCAUAAUCAUUAUAUACAGGUCCUUUAUUUUCGUCCAUUUCAUCCUCUUGCUCUCGUUCAGCUUUGAGACGGGCAAUGGGUAUUGCCACAAGCCUCGCUUCUUCGUCUUCCUCUUCUUCAAGUAUUUAUGGGUGGGGGUGGAGAGGGAGACGGAGUGGCCAAAUCCCUUCCAAGUGAAAAGUAUGGAUCGGCCAGAUCGGAUAUGGAUGAAACCGCUCCUUCUCCAGAUGGGCUUUUCCCGGGAUGUCACUACAGUUCUUCCGCGCCUGAUAAAACGCCAAAUCCCACCGGACACAAGCAUCACCAAAGCAGCAAUCAGACAAAACAAGUUGCCCGCUCCUAACCACAAGUCGAAUUUGCCUCCUGGAUCUGCGGAAUGACAAGCAACUAUUCAACAAGGAACGUUACUGAAAUGGCUGAAAACUAGUUUAUUGAUCGGCAAGUUAAUCUGUAUUUAGAUUUUGAGCACGAGUCUGAAUAAAAGAC